rnacentral:misc_RNA from 1 species
AAGGAGACCUCUCAAAUUCUUCAAGUUCUUCAUCAAAAAAGCUUCGCUUCCCUAACAACCAUUUCAAUGAACUAUCUCUAACAAGCCCCUCGAUCGUACUUCUGGUUUUGCUGAGUACAGCCAUCUUAUUCAAAAUCUUGCAAUAUUAUCGAGCUGAAAGAUAUCCAUCCCCAAUUAAGCAACAUUCCAAUCUCACAACUCCCCAAAAGCAAUCUAAUAG